AGGUGAAUCAAUUGCAAUUGAUGGAAUAUCUUUAAAAUGCUGAGUUCAUGUAAUUUUUUCAAAAUCGAAUAUGCGGAAAGGAGCUGUUUGGAAUGAAGAUUUACAAGAAGAAGUAAUUCCAUCUAAUUGAAUUAGUGAUAAAAUUGUUUGUCGGCUUCCAGCUGCCAAAGCAUUGACUGCACUAAAAUGAAGAGAAGAAUUGGCUUAAGUUUAUACAAAUAAAAACUAAAUUCUCUUCAGAGUAUUUUUGAAAAG